ACAUUUCUUUAAGGUUUUAUUUAAAGUAGGUUCUGCCCUAUGAUUAUAAUUAGUUAAAUGGCUGCAGUAUUUUGACUGUACAAAGGUAGCAUAAUAAUUAGUUUUUUAAUUGAGGACUUGAAUGAAUGAAUUAAUGAGAUAUUAAUUUUAUUUUUUUUAUUUUUAAAAUUUAAUUUUUAAGUUAAAAAGCUUAGAUAUUUUUUUGGGACGAUAAGACCCUAUAGAACUUUAAUAUAUUUAAUUUAUUUUCUUAUUUAGUUUAUUUUUAAUUUUAAUUUAAUUUAUUUUUUUGCUGGGGUGGUGAAUAAAUUUUAAGCUUUAUUUUUAUUUUUCAUUAAUUUAUGUAUUUUUGAUCCUUUGGUUAGAUUAUAAGAUUAAGUUACCUUAGGGAUAACAGCGUAAUUUUAAUGGUUAGUUCAUAUUUAUAUUAAAGUUUGCGACCUCGAUGUUGAAUUAAGAUAAAGUUAGGGAGUAGGUUCUUUAAAUUUAAGUCUGUUCGACUUUUAAAUUCUUACAUGAUCUG
rnacentral:rRNA from 1 species